rnacentral:rRNA from 1 species
AAAGAAGUGGGUAGUUUAACCUUUCGGGGAGGACGCUCACCACUUUGUGGUUCAUGACUGGGGUGAAGUCGUAACAAGGUAGCCCUAGGGGAACCUGGGGCUGGAUCACCUCCUUAUACGAAGAUA